UCAGGCAACGAUCAAUAAGACUUUGUCU
rnacentral:piRNA from 1 species